GCGAGGAAUGUGAGUGAUUAAUAUGAGGAAAAUAGAUGAGGAAUGUGAAUGAUCAAUAUGAGGAAAAGAGGUGAGGAAUGUUAAUGAUCAAUAUGAGGAAAAGAGAUGAGGAAUGUGAGUGAUUAAUAUGAGGAAAGAGUUGAGGAAUGUGAAUAAAUAAUAUGAGGAAAAGAGGUCAGGAAUGUGAGUGAUUAAUAUGAGGAAAAGAGGUGUGGAAUGUGAGUAAUUAAUAUGAGGAAACGAGGUGAGGAAUGUGAGUGAUUAAUAUGAGGAAAAUAGAUGAGGAAUGUGAAUGAUCAAUAUGAGGAAAAGAGGUGAGGAAUGUGAGUGAUCAAUAUGAGGAAAAGAGAUGAGGAAUGUGAGUGAUUAAUAUAAGGAAAGAGGUGAGGAAUGUGAAUAAAUAAUAUGAGGAAAAGAGGUCAGGAAUGUGAGUGAUUAAUAUGAGGAAAAGAGGUGUGGAAUGUGAGUAAUUAAUAUGAGGAAAUGAGGUGAGGAAUGUGAGUAAUUAAUAUGAGGAAAAGAGAUGAGGAUGGAAUGUGAGUGAUUAAUAUGAGGAAAGAGGUGAGGAAUGUGAGGGAUUAAUAUGAGGAAUAAAGGUGAGAAAUGUGAGGGAUUAAUAUAAGUAAAACAGGUGAGGAAUUUGAAUGAUUAAUAUGAGGAAAGAGAUGAGGAAUGUGAGUGAUUAAUAUGAGGAAAAGAAGUGAGGAAUGUGAGUGCUCAAUAUGAGGAAAAGAGGUGAGGAUUGUGAGUGAUUAAUAUGAGGAAAAGAGGUGAGGAAUGUGAAUGAUUAAUAUGAGGAAAAGAGAUGAGGAAUGUGAAUGAUCAAUAUGAGAAAAAGAGGUGAUGAACGCCAGUGAUUAACAUGAGGAAAAGAGAUGAGGAAUGUGAGUGAUUCAUAUGAGGAAAAGAGAUGAGGAAUGUGAAUGAAUAAUAUGAGGAAAAGAGGUGAGGAAUGUGAGUGAUUAAUAUGAGGAAAAGAGGUGUGGAAUGUGAGUGUUCAAUAUGAGGAAUAGAGGUAAGGAAUGUGAGUGAUUAAUAUGAGGAAAAGAGGUGAGGAACGUGAGGGCUCAAUUUGAGGAAAAUAAGUGAGGAAUGUGAUUUAUUAAUAUGAGGAAAAGGGAUGAGGAAUGUGAAUGAUCAAUAAGUGGAAAAGAGGUGAGGAAUGUGAGUGAUUAAUAUGAGGAAAAUAGAUGAGGAAUGUGAAUGAUCAAUAUGAGGAAAAGAGGUGAAGAAUGUGAAUGAUCAAUAUGAGGAAAAGAGAUAAGGAAUGUGAGUGAUUAAUAUGAGGAAAGAGGUGAGGAAUGUGAAUAAAUAAUAUGAGGAAAAGAGGUCAGGAAUGUGAGUGAUUAUUAUGAGGAAAAGAGGUGUGGAAUGUGAGUAAUUAAUAUGAGGAAAUGAGGUGAGGAAUGUGAGUGAUUAAUAUGAGGAAAAGAGGUGAGGAACGUGAGGGCUCAAUUUGAGGAAAAUAGGUGAGGAAUGUGAUUGAUUAAUAUGAGGAAAAGAGAUGAGGAAUGUGAAUGAUCAAUAUGAGGAAAAGAGGUGAGGAAUGUGAGUGAUUAAUAUGAGGAAAAUAGAUGAGGAAUGUGAAUGAUCCAUAUGAGGAAAAGAGGUGAGGAAUGUGAAUGAUCAAUAUGAGGAAAAGAGAUGAGGAAUGUGAGUGAUUAAUAUGAGGAAAGAGUUGAGGAAUGUGAAUAAAUAAUAUGAGGAAAAGAGGUCAGGAAUGUGAGUGAUUACUAUGAGGAAAAGAGGUGUGGAAUGUGAGUAAUUAAUAUGAGGAAAUGAGGUGAGGAAUGUGAGUGAUUAAUAUGAGGAAAAUAGAUGAGGAAUGUGAAUGUUCAAUAUGAGGAAAAGAGGUGAGGAAUGUGAGUGAUCAAUAUGAGGAAAAGAGAUGAGGAAUGUGAGUGAUUAAUAUGAGGAAAGAGGUGAGGAAUGUGAAUAAAUAAUAUGAGGAAAAGAGAUCAGGAAUGUGAGUGAUUAAUAUGAGGAAGAGAGGUGUGGAAUGUGAGUAAUUAAUAUGAGGAAAUGAGGUGAGGAAUGUGAGUGAUUCAUAUGAGGAAAAGAGAUGAGGAUGGAAUGUGAGUGAUUAAUAUGAGGAAAGAGGUGAGGAAUUUGAAUGAUUAAUAUGAGGAAAGAGAUGAGGAAUGUGAGUGAUUAAUUGGAGGAAAAGAAGUGAGGAAUGUGAGUGCUCAAUAUGAGGAAAAGAGGUGAGGAUUGUGAGUGAUUAAUAUGAGGAAAAGAGAUAAGGAAUGUGAGUGAUUAUUAUGAGGAAAAGCGGUGAGGAAUGUGAAUGAUUAAUACGAGGAAAAGAGGUGAGGAAUGUGAAUGAAUAAUAUGAGGAAAAGAGAUGAUGAAUGUAAAUUAAUAAUAUGAGGAAAAGAGAUGAGGAAUGUGAAUGAAUAAUAUGAGGAAAAGAGGUGAGGAAUGUAAGUAAUUAAUAUGAGGAAAAGAGGUGAGGAAUGUGAGUGAUUAAUAUGAGGAAAAGAGGUGAGGAAUGUGAAAGAUCAAUAUGAGGAAAGAGGUGAGGAAAGUGAGUGAUUAAUAUGAGGAAAAGCGGUGAGGAAUGUGAGUGAUCAAUAUGAGGAAAAGAGGUGAGGAAUGUGAAUGAUUAAUAUGAGGAAAAGAGGUGAUGAACGUCAGUGAUUAACAUGAGGAAAAGAGAUGAGGAAUGUGAGUGAUUAAUAUGAGGAAAAGAGAUGAGGAAUAUGAAUGAAUAAUAUGAGGAAAAGAGGUGAGGAAUGUGAGUGAUUAAUAUGAGGAAAAGAGAUGUGGAAUGUGAGUGUUCAAUAUGAGGAAUAGAGGUAAGGAAUGUGAGUGAUUAAUAUGAGGAAAAGAGGUGAGGAACGUGAGGGCUCAAUUUGAGGAAAAUAGGUGAGGAAUGUGAGUGAUUAAUAUGAGGAAAAGAGAUGAGGAAUGUGAGUGAUUAAUAUGAGGAAAAACGAUGAGGAAUGUGAGUGAUUAAUAAGAGGAAACGAGGUGGGGAAUGUGAAUGAUUAAUAUGAGGAAAAGAGGUGAGAAAUGUGAGUGAAUAAUAUGAGGAAAAUAGGUGAGGAAUGUGAUCAAUAUGAGUAAAAGAGAUGAGGAAUGUGAGUGAUUAACAUGAGGAAAAGAGAUGAGGAAUCUGAGUGAUUAAUAUGAGGAAAAGAGAUGAGGAAUGUGAAUGAUCAAUAUGAGAAAAAGAGGUGAGGAACGUGAGUGUUUAACAUGAGGAAAAGAGGUGAGAAAUGUGAGUGAUUAAUAUGAGGAAAAGAGGUGAGGAAUGUAAGUGAUUAAUAUGAGGAAAAGAGGUGAGGAACGUGAGUGAUUAAUAUGAGGAAAGGAGGUGAGGAAUGUGAGUGAUCAAUAUGAGGAAAAGAGGUGAGGAAUGUGAAUGAUCAAUAUGAGGAAAAGAGGUGGGGAAUGUGAGUGAUUAAUAUGAGGAAAAGAGGUGAGGAAUGUGAAUGAUCAAUAUGAGGAAAGAGGUGAGGAAUGUGAGUGAAUAAUAUGAGGAAAAGAGGUGAGAAAUGUGAGUGAUUAAUAUGAGGAAAAGAGGUGAGGAAUGUGAAUGAUCAAUAUGAGGAAAGAGGUGAGGAAUGUGAGUUAUUAAUAUGAGGAAAAGAGGUGAGGAAUGUGAAUGAAUAAUAUGGGGAAAAGAGAUGAUGAAUGUAAAUGAAUAAUAUGAGGAAAAGAGACGAGGAAUGUGAAUGAAUAAUAUGAGGAAAAGAGGUGAGGAAUGUAAGUAAUUAAUAUGAGGAAAAGAGGUGAGGAAUGUGAGUGAUUAAUAUGAGGAAAAGAGGUGAGGAAUGUGAAAGAUCAAUAUGAGGAAAGAGGUGAGGAAAGUGAGUGAAUAAUAUGAGGAAAAGAGGUGAGAAAUGUGAGUGAUUAAUAUGAAGAAAAGAGGUGAGGAAUGUGAAUGAUCAAUAUGAGGAAAGAGGUGAGGAAUGUGAGUUAUUAAUAUGAGGAAAAGAGGUGAGGAAUGUGAAUGAAUAAUAUGAGGAAAAGAGAUGAGGGAUGUGAAUGAAUAAUAUGAGGAAAAGAGAUGAUUAAUGUAAAUGAAUAAUAUGAGGAAAAGAGACAAGGAAUGUGAAUGAAUAAUAUGAGGAAAAGAGGUGAGGAAUGUAAGUAAUUAAUAUGAGGAAAAGAGGUGAGGAAUGUGAGAGAUUAAUAUGAGGAAAAGAGGUGAGGAAUGUGAAAGAUCAAUAUGAGGAAAGAGGUGAGGAAAGUGAGUGAUUAAUAUGAGGAAAAGAAGUGAGAAAUGUGAGUGAUUAAUAUGAGGAAAAGAGGUGAGGAAUGUGAAUGAUCAAUAUGAGGAAAGAGGUGAGGAAUGUGAGUGAUUAAUAUGAGGAAAAGAGGUGAGAAAUGUGAGUUAUUAAUACGAGGAAAAGAGGUGAGGAAUGUGAAUGAUCAAUAUGAGGAAAAGAGGUGAGGAAUGUGAGUCAUUAAUACGAGGAAAAGAGGUGAGGAAUGUGAAUGAAUAAUAUGAGGAAAAGAGAUGAUGAAUGUAAAUGAAUAAUAUGAGGAAAA